rnacentral:ncRNA from 1 species
CCAGUCGGCACCUCGUAUGGGGCUCGUCCGAGUCCGCUCAGCGGCCGGAUACAGGAGCCCGCGAUGACCCGGCGGGUUGGAGGAGCUGUCCGUG